GAAACACCCGCUCACCCUUGCAAAGCCGCAGCAGCAUCCAGGGUCUUGGCCGCUCGUUCUAGUUUAUGGCGAAAGCCAGGUGGAGCCAGGAACAGACUCUGUGCUUCUGAGGCAGCCGGACACAGCUCUUGACGCAGAAGGUUGAUUUUGUUUGGAUCUCUCUUGACCAGACAAGGUAGGGUUAAGUGUGUGAAGGGGGAGAAGGGAAUGCAGACCUCCUGGAACUUGAAACUUCCCAGCCCAGAGCCAGCCAGUGCGUGGAGACGCAGCCCCAACGUGCUGCUGCUGCUGCGGACACCUGGGGCGUGGAGCCAGGGCACGGGGCAGCUGUCCCUCUGCAGCCACACACCACAGGGGAUGGGCACCAGCAGACACGCCUGCUCGCUCCAGGGUGAACCCGUGAGCAACUGUGGUACCUCCACCUGUCCCACAACCUACAACUCAGCAGUACCAAGGGCUGGACGCUGGUGCCACCACACGGGUCCCGCGAAGCCUGCUGCGAAGUGAAGGAAGCCAGACACAAAAGUCUCCAUCCUGCGGGAGUCACUCACAGGACAAUUCUGGAGGACGCAAAGCUGUAGGAGCGAGGAGAGACAGGUGGUGGUUGGGGGCCGGGAAGGGGCCUGACUGCAGAGGGGCAAAAUGUGGGCUGCCUCUGUCGGGGCAGAAGUGCCCCACUCUAGACCCUUACCAAGUCGUCGGCUGUACAUCGAAAACG
rnacentral:lncRNA from 1 species